AAUACCGCGGCCCUUUAAAAUCUUUCAGUGGGCAGAUUAGACUUUAAAUUAUAAUCAAAAAGACAUGUUUUUGUUAAACAGGCGAACAUUAAUUUGCCAAGUUCCUUAAUUUAACCUUUCAAUUUAUUUAUUCUAAACAAUUAAAUAUACUAAUUUUAUCAUUAUUUCAAUUUUUAUAUAAUUUUAAAAAUUAUUUUAAUAAAAACUUAAAUUAAUAAAAAUUAUUUUUAAUUUAAAAUAAAUUAUAACAUUUUCAUAAAUAAUGACUAUUUCUAAGCCUAUAUUUUUUAAAUUAAAAAAUUAUUAUAAAAUUUAUUUUAAAGCUUAUCCCUUAAAAUAUUAAUUAUUAAUAAUAAUUUAUUAAUUAAAUAAAUAAUUACUAUUAAUAAUCUAAAUUUAAUUUAUUUCUUAAAAAACUAGAUAUAUUUAAAAACGAAUAACAUUUCAUUUCUAAUUUAUUAUUUUACAUUUUUAUGAAACAAAAAAUUAAAUAAUAAAUUAACUCUUUUAAAUUCGAGAAAAAUUAAAUUUUUAACUUUUAAUUAAUAAACCCUGAUACACAAGGUACAAUAUAUAAAAUUUACUUUUAAUUUAAUAUUUUUUCAUUUAUUUCAAUAUUCUUUUACAAUACUAAUUAACUAUUAUAUAAACUAUUUGAUCUAUAUUCUAUACAAAAAAACCUUAAUUUAAAAUUAAUUUUAUUAAAUAAAUUAAUAAACAAAAAAAAUUAAUAAAUCUUUAUUAUCAAAUUAAAUUGAAUCUCACAAUAUACUUUUCAAUGUAAAUGAAAUGCUUUACUUUUCAAGCUCUAAUUUGUCUUUCUAGAUACACCUUC
rnacentral:rRNA from 1 species